rnacentral:rRNA from 1 species
GAUGAACGCUGGCGGCGUGCCUAAUACAUGCAAGUAGAACGCUGAAGGAAGGAGCUUGCUCUUUCCGGAUGAGUUGCGAACGGGUGAGUAACGCGUAGGUAACCUGCCUGGUAGCGGGGGAUAACUAUUGGAAACGAUAGCUAAUACCGCAUAACAGUAGAUGUUGCAUGAUAUCUACUUAAAAGGUGCAAUUGCACCACUACCAGAUGGACCUGCGUUGUAUUAGCUAGUUGGUGAGGUAACGGCUCACCAAGGGGACGAUACAUAGCCGACCUGAGAGGGUGAUCGGCCACACUGGGACUGAGACCCGGCCCAGACUCCUACGGGAGGCAGCAGUAGGGAAUCUUCGGCAAUGGACGGAAGUCUGACCGAGCAACGCCGCGUGAGUGAAGAAGGUUUUCGGAUCGUAAAGCUCUGUUGUAAGAGAAGAACGAGUGUGAGAGUGGAAAGUUCACACUGUGACGGUAUCUUACCAGAAAGGGACGGCUAACUACGUG